UCACAAUAGCUGUCUUGUCCGCAGUCCACUCACUCCAGGGUUUGAUGAGCGUGGAGGGAUUGACACUCUUGACUAAAUUCUCCUGAAUUUGUCGUUAACGUGUUCAAACCUCCACUCGGGGCGUCCAAAGUCAUCUUGCUGGACCGACCAAAACAUCUUUUGUUGAAGUUUCGUCCCCGAUUAAAGUCGUCUCGGUGGACAUUGGUGUUUCUCGGCCUUGUUUAGCUUCGUGUGAACAAUGUGCACAAGGACAUCAGAAUACGAGGAGGAACUAUGUGGAGAAAAAGGGGACCACAAGGGACAACGUCAACUGCUGGACGCCAUUGGCAGGAUGCAGCCAAGAGUUGUUCUUCACAGAUUAGGAAGGGACCGCACACCAGGAUCCAUACUUGUAUCCAUACCAUUGUAUCCUGGGGGCGUUGAGGUGGUAGAUCGAGCGGAGGAGGGUUCAGGAGGCUCAAGAUGGGGUCCAAGUCCUGGCUGACUGUCCCGCAGGGAAACUGUUUGUGCCUCCUUCACUGCGUUCGGGAGGUGUUGCAGCGGGGGCAUGCGUCCAAGGUGGCUUGCCAUCCCGGGGUGAACCGGACUUUGCACCUCAUCUCCCAGCAGACGUUCCAUUUCGGCCGCCUGCACACCUGCUGCCUAUUUGUCGGUGAUUACACCUGCUAUAUCUAGGCGCUCCGGUAAUCGACUCAUUGCCGGAGUAUUGCAUGCCGUGCCACUGCUGUUUGCCCAUGUAUUUUAGAAAACGCUACUGGUGUAGCAUUAUUGACCUUUACAUUCUUCGCCGUCCCAUUGUGAAUAUAAAUCAUAAUUUGCCUAAUCAAUUCCCUUGCCGUUUUUUGCAAGCGUUUUUUGUUGUCUUAUAUUGUUUCCUGGUUUUUGUUAGUAACCAGCGCUUUCCGUUAGACGGUAUUAUUUUGGUUUGUAAUAAAUAUUAUUUUGUGAAAAGAUCCUUUUUUUGGUGUCUGCUAUUUCGGAGAGCCACUUAUUCUCGCUUUUAUGUUACGCACCAAGCGACAGUUCAAAAUAAGUGUUGUAUAAAAUAUAGCAUUAGCAAUAUAUUUGUAGAAUAAAUGUAAUAAAUAAGCAAAAGCAUUGAAAACACUGCGUAAGGUGGCUGUGCUAUUUACAGUGGUUACAGGUUUCCACGUAUGGUUAUUCAGCAGCCUGACAGCAGUCGGUAGGCAUCAGCGGCGGGAUCUCUCCUUCUUGCAGCACGGGUGUAACAGUCUGGCUGAAGGAGCUACGCAGUGCUGUCAGGGCGGGCUGGAGGGUGUGGGAGCGACUGUCCAUCAUAGCUUUUAGCUUAGCGAGUAUCCUCCUGUUGCCC